rnacentral:rRNA from 1 species
UACGAAGGGGGCUAGCGUUGCUCGGAAUUACUGGGCGUAAAGGGCGCGUAGGCGGGUCGUUUAGUUAGAGGUGAAAGCCCCAGGGCUCAACCCUGGAAUUGCCUUUAAUACUGGCGGCCUUGAGUAUGGCAGAGGUGUGUGGAACUCCGAGUGUAGAGGUGAAAUUCGUAGAUAUUCGGAAGAACACCAGUGGCGAAGGCGACACACUGGGCCAUUACUGACGCUGAGGUGCGAAAGCGUGGGGAGCAAACAGG